GACGAACGCUGGCGGCGUGCUUAACACAUGCAAGUCGAACGGAAAGGCCCUGCUUGCAGGGUACUCGAGUGGCGAACGGGUGAGUAACACGUGGGUGAUCUGCCCUGCACUUCGGGAUAAGCCUGGGAAACUGGGUCUAAUACCGGAUAGGAGCCAUUUUUCUUGUGAUGGUUGGAAAGUUUUUUCGGUGUAGGAUGAGCUCGCGGCCUAUCAGCUUGUUGGUGGGGUAAUGGCCUACCAAGGCGGCGACGGGUAGCCGGCCUGAGAGGGUGGACGGCCACAUUGGGACUGAGAUACGGCCCAGAAUCCUACGGGAGGCAGCAGUGGGGAAUAUUGCACCAUGGGCGCAAGCCUGAUGCAGCGACGCCGCGUGGGGGAUGACGGCCUUCGGGUUGUAAACUCCUUUCGCUAGGGAAGAAGCUUUUUGUGACGGUACCUAGAUAAGAAGCACCGGCUAACUACGUG
rnacentral:rRNA from 1 species